UACGUAGGAGGCGAGCGUUGUCCGGAGUUACUGGGCGUAAAGCGCACGCAGGCGGUCGCAUUAGUCUGGGGUGACAGUUCCCGGCUUAUCCGGAAAAGGACUCUGGAAACUGUGCGACUUGAGGGCUUCAGAGGGAUGUGGAAUUCCAGGUGGAGUGGUGAAAUGCGCAGAUAUCAGGAGGAACACCGGUGGCGAAGGCGGGUCUCUGGGCCGAUACUGACGCUGAGGAGCGAAAGCGUGGGGAGCGAACAGG
rnacentral:rRNA from 1 species